rnacentral:rRNA from 1 species
ACUUGCCCCGAGAUGAGUUCUCCCUGAGACUUUAAGUCUCCUGAAGGAACGUUGAAGACGACGACGUUGAUAGGCCGGGUGUGUAAGCGCAGCGAUGCGUUGAGCUAACCGGUACUAAUGAACCGUGUGGCUUAACCUU